UACGAGUGCCUCAAGCGUUAUCCGGAAUUACUGGGCGUAAAGGGUGUGUAGGUGGUCAUGUUAGUCUUUUGUCAAAUUCUUCGGCUUAACCGGGGGCUCGCAAAAGAAACGGCAUGACUAGAGGAUGCGAGGGGUCUGCGGAACUCAUGGUGUAGCGGUGAAAUGCGUUGAUAUCAUGGGGAACACCGAAAGCGAAGGCAGCAGACUGGAGCACUCCUGACACUGAAACACGAAAGCGUGGGUCGCGAAUGGGAUUAGAUACCCCAGUAGU
rnacentral:rRNA from 1 species